rnacentral:snRNA from 1 species
UAAGCGCGAACUUCGAAA